GUCACAUCUCACUUGACGUUUGCAGAAACCAAGUUCAGAUGGGGCGCCUAUCACUCGUGCCAAGUCUUCACCACCAAAGACGGUGUUGCCAAUGUGAACUUUGCAGGAAAACAAAUCUGGUCACGGCUCCCUCCUUCUGGAGGCUCUUGCUGAGGUCCUUAUCCCCUGAAUAAAAAUGUCCAAGGAAACCAUGAAAAAGCACAUGCUUCCAAGCGACGGGGAAACACGGCCUCUCUCCUCUCCUUUCAAGCCGCGUGUCCACCAGGACAGCCACGGGCCCACACACCCUGCAGAGCCGUAUUUCUUUGCCCAGGAGAAGACAAACCGGCACUUAAUGGGAAAAGAUAUAUAUUUGUUCCAGCACAUCAAGGACAAAAAUAAAACGAGACUGGGGGAAAUGGUUUCUUUGCAAGGCAGCUAUUUAAUUGAUCUAUUUGGAAUUCAUAUGCCCUGUUGCUGCAUGCUAAUUGCAAGCCAUUUUGAAGCAGAAUCAGCUUGGAUCACAACUGAUUUAAGGCCAUGGAACUGGCCUGGCCAGCUCGGGCGAGCCGUGUACAUGAACUCCCUGGUUUUACCAGGCCUGGGGAGAGAGGACUUCUUUGGCGAAGGCAGAACAACAAGCCUAAAACUCCAGGGGUGA
ensembl:lncRNA